UUGGGGAAACAGGAGUACAUUCUUUAAUUUAAGCAAUUUUAUGACAGCACGCUCUAUAUCUUGUCGAAUUAACAUAACUUCACUGAUCAUAUUCGCGUAUCUGUCCGCAGUUUUUCUAUAAAAUUCGAGCAUAAUUGCUGAAUAUUUGAUGGCAUGACUUGAAUAUUCACCAAAGGAAUUCUGAAAAUGUGCAGUAAGCAAUGCAUUUAUACUGCACGGUAUUCUGCAAAGUCUUCUCGGUCAACCUUAUGCAACCCGCAGACGCCCAGACGGAUUGAGCAACAUUUACUCCGCUCCAAGUUGGACAAAUCGAUUUAUGUUGAUGUAACCGUUAGACCGAAUGUCUAAGUUCGUUAGAGCAACACAAUUUUUCUUCGCAUGUUUUGUAUGAUCUCGGCAAGUCUAGUGGAUAUGUGAUUGCUAUUUUUGCGAAUUCUGUGGAGGGAUAUUUUUACGAUUUUUGGGCAAUAAUCAUAGUAAGAAAAAGCACAACUUUCAAAAUUUAAGUACAGGAAGAAAUGUAAAAAAAUGUAAAUGUAAAUGUAGUAUAUUCAUACAAAAAGCGUUACGAGGGGGUGGGUGCCAAAAAUUCCGUUAUGAAACAUGUGAAUGAGCCCUACCCACACAUUGCUCAAACCGUUCAAAAAACCUUCAUGUUCGGCAUGUAUUACUCAAAAUUCCAAAAUACAACUGGUAAUGUCAUGACUAGUCAUGAUAUGCUGUUUACUGUUGAUUACUGUUAAUUAUGUAA